CUUGACAUCCAGAGAAUUUAGCAGAGAUGCUUUAGUGCCUUCGGGAACUCUGAGACAGGUGCUGCAUGGCUGUCGUCAGCUCGUGUUGUGAAAUGUUGGGUUAAGUCCGCAACGAGCGCAACCCUUAUCCUUUGUUGCCAGCACGUAAUGGUGGGAACUCAAAGGAGACUGCCGGUGAUAAACCGGAGGAAGGUGGGGAUGACGUCAAGUCAUCAUGGCCCUUACGAGUAGGGCUACACACGUGCUACAAUGGCGUAUACAAAGAGAAGCGACCUCGCGAGAGCAAGCGGACCUCAUAAAGUGCGUCGUAGUCCGGAUUGGAGUCUGCAACUCGACUCCAUGAAGUCGGAAUCGCUAGUAAUCGUAAAUCAGAAUGUUACGGUGAAUACGUUCCCGGGCCUUGUACACACCGCCCGUCACGCCAUGGGAGUGGGUUGCAAAAGAAGUAGAUAGCUUAACCUUCGGGAGGGCGUUUACCACUUUGUGAUUCAUGACUGGGGUGAAGUCGUAACAAGGUAAGCGUAGUGCU
rnacentral:rRNA from 1 species